UACUCAUGUUUCUCUUCAAAUCAUAUAAAUCUUUCGCCUUUUACUAAAAACUUCCGAGAGGAGGAAAAAAAAAAGAUAUAUAGCAAAAG
rnacentral:snRNA from 1 species